rnacentral:rRNA from 1 species
UACGAAGGGGGCAAGCGUUGUUCGGAAUUACUGGGCGUAAAGGGCUCGUAGGUGGCCAACUAAGUCAGACGUGAAAUCCCUCGGCUUAACCGGGGAACUGCGUCUGAUACUGGAUGGCUUGAGUUCGGGAGAGGGAUGCGGAAUUCCAGGUGUAGCGGUGAAAUGCGUAGAUAUCUGGAGGAACACCGGUGGCGAAGGCGGCAUCCUGGACCGACACUGACACUGAGGAGCGAAAGCCAGGGGAGCAAACGGG